CAGACUGAAUAGAAAUUGCAUGUGCUCGUGCUUAUGAUCCUGCGCAGCCAGAUUAAGCUAGGUAUGCCAGGGCUGCACCUCCCAAGCAAGGGCAACUUGCUGGAAACACUGCUCUCUGGAAUGAGGCUUCACCAAGAGGACAGACCUGGGGCCAGACAAGGUGAUUGCCCUCCUUACUGCCAGCGCUCUUGAUGCAGCAUGGACUUCCAGGUAAUUCACAUUAUUGUUGGCUAUAAAUCUUCUACACUGGAGAAGCUCUAGCCCCUUGCCAACGCUCCCCCUGCAGUCCUACAGUCUCUAAACGAAGCCUUCCAUACUAAUGGCCUAGAACUACCAACAGGAGAAGAUUUGAUGAAGUGUUGCAAAACUGAAGAACUGCCUCUGCUUCAUGGGAGAACUUUCCAAGACUCCUAUACAAGAUUCCUGGCCACUAGAGAUCUGCUCUUCAAAUUAACGCCUGCUAAUGUUGGGCUUGAUUAAAGGAAGCUAAUGAAGCCAUUUGAAGGAUGCCCUCCAGCCUUCCCUCUCUGUGUCCAUGUUCCCUUGGCAGAAAUCGGGGAUUUGAAAGCUGCAAUUCAACAGCAUCAUCCUUUCAUGUUGUGGACUGCCUGGCCUAUGAAUGGGACCUGCCCCAUGCUGUGUAUUACUAGGAGCCCGCUGGAGAACAAGGGUCUCAGAAGCUCACGUCACCCUACUGCCUCCUGUGUUGUGAUGAUACAGGCAGAGGAAGUCUUUCUUUCGCCUCUGUCUCUGGAGUCCUGGCAUCACCUUUGCUGACCUAUGCUUCAGCAUCCCCAGGGUAACAGGAUACAAUGAAAGAAGAGGAUACCAAGAGAGACGUUGGAAAACUGAGCCCUGAUGACCUUUCUCAGCACUUGAACCAAACAGUGCUUUUGGUAGAACAGUGUCUUCCUCUUUUGUGCCCAGGAUGAAGUCAAAGCCCCCCACAGGAGCCUGUAAUGCUAUAAGUGAGUUUUGCCUGGAUGGAAGCAAGCCACCAGAGGUUAUUUCUCAGAGAAGUCCUACGGUGGAGGUGACUGCAUGCCAGGAAAUUCACACCCUGCUGAAGGACUCCUUCACCAGAGAAUGGCACUGCAAUCCUUCUGCCACCUCCUGCUCUUGUGCACGUGCCUUCUGUUAUGUAAACAGUCUCCCCCAGCACUUCUGACAUCUCUACUGCGCACGAAGCCAACAGGAGACUCUUACAAAGCUGGAUGUUGGUUAAGGUGCCGAGAGGGCAGCCCUGCCCCAGCCUCUCUGACCAGUCAAGCCUGGUGUGCCCACACAGCAGCCCUGUGUCCUCUGUGCCCCCAUUCGUCAUCCACUGUGGUCACCGCCGUAUGCACGAUGGAGCUCAUGAGUUGUUCCUUCCUUCUUCCUUUUGAAGAGAGACCUGGUGUGUGGGGACCCUGCCUCCCUCUGCUGCUGGACUACAAGGAGGAAGGACCUCAUCUCCUGCCUGGGGCACUCACCAUGCCAUCGGAGCAGUUGG